GUAGUCUGCAACUCGACUACAUGAAGCCGGAAUCGCUAGUAAUCGCGAAUCAGCAUGUCGCGGUGAAUACGUUCCCGGGUCUUAUACACACCGCCCGUCACACCAUGGGAGUUGGUAACGCCCGAAGCCAGUGACCCAACCGGAAACGGAGGGAGCUGUCGAAGGUGGGACCGAUAACUGGGGUGAAGUCGUAACAAGGUAUC
rnacentral:rRNA from 1 species